AUACCACCUCUUCUUUUGUGCGACUCUACCUCGAGCCCCACGCCCUCCCUCCCGCACGCGAACUCGUCUGUCGUCUCCCUCUCUUCCCCUCUCAGCUUUGCCUCUGCCGUCCCUAAAACCCAUCGUUUGAUGGCCGUCCUUGAAUAUGGCUGCCCACGUCGGAGCUGGCGUAGGAGGCGGUGGAUCGGAUCUCUCCUUCAACACGCCCUGCUGGCCGCUCGAUGCAGGGAGGCACAGUCAGAUUAACCGGAGAAAUAGGUGGAGGGAAAGAGGUGAGGAGAAUACAUCAAGGUCAGACGGCAGUGCAGCGCAACCAUGGUGUUCGACUGGUCGUGACCGUCUGUGACCAGCUGUGACGGGCGCUGCUUGGGGAGAGAUGCGGGCGUCGCCGUCGAGCAGCGGCGAGUGCGUCCGAUGGAGACGAUGCCAAGGUCAAGAUUUUCAAGGGAGAUACGCAGAUCCCCAUGUGGUUUUCGUCAGCUGCACAAGAUCUUCUUGGUAUGAUUCUUGAACCAACGGUGGACCUCGGUGGCGAAAGCAAUAGAGGCCAAGGCUCCAUCGCUUUGCCCCUAUCGGUUAUAUAGGCUUACACACUGCUCCUCUCCCUGCUCCUCUGGCGAGAUCGUACAAGCUUGGGGGCAACCAUCUUUAUAUUGUGGCCGGAUGCAUGGUACCUCCUAGGGCAACUCAAGUCACUCCAGAAAAGACACGGCUGAUUGUACAAAAGCAUUAUGAGUUAAUAUCAAAAUUAGUUUGCAAGAAUAUGGACACAACACCUGAGCUUCACACACUUCAGAAGAUCGAUCAUUGUAGUAUGGGGCUCUCUAGGUGAUUGUUCAGGAAUAUAGGAAGCUGCAAAAGGUUAAUGUGCAGGAUUGAAACUUGAGAAUACCGGUUCAGAAAUUAAGAAUGUCAAGGACUUGAUCUGGGGUCUGAAUGAGAAAGAUGGAUUCAACGGAAGCUGAAAAGGGGUUGCAACUAGCUAUGGAAACAUGGGUUUUUGUGAAUUCCGCAAUGUUGAUUCCACUGGUAGGAUAAGCAGGUUUAAGGGCUGAACCUUAUGCUAUGCAGACGUGGUCUCUUUAAUUUCUGGAUGUGUACUGAUAUAAUGACCACAUAAACAAAAUUUGGUGUGCUCUUUUGCAGGUCCACCUAUGAAAGAUACAAGGUUUGGGUGGUAGAUUCUUGUGUGAAAAAAAUCACCAGGUACUCUUAUACCAUGUGAAGACCUUUUAUUACACUACCAGUUUAGAGUUAGACUAAAUAACUUCUCCCUUCAUUUGCUUUCGAUCUUCAAGUGUCCAUUCAGUUCAUGUUCUGAUUAGCUGUACAGUUUGGUCUUUGGAAGGUCAACGACUUUAUUUUUUAUAUUAGACAAUGACUACACUAGGGAGAAGAUACUGAGAAUGGCGAAGACUAUUAUGAAUAGACUUCAAUGGAACCUCAUCAUUCCUUCACCAUAUGUUCUUUGUGCAAUUUGCAGAGGCGGCGACUUCCUCUGAUUUGAAGAAUGAUAAGGAGUUUGGUGUUGUCCCUCCAUGAUUGAUGAUGUUGCUGCUGUCUACGACUCUAUGUAGCUAGGCUCAUCCCAAGAAGACCACUAUAUGGACUGACACCCUCAAGCAUCACACUGGCUUUACUCAAUGUAAUCAUGCACACUAAAUCACACAGCUAAUGUAAAGCAUGCACACUACUGACUUUACAGAAACCUCUUUGCUUAAAUGUUAUGUUCAGAGGAUUUUCAGGGAUAUGCACACUCGAUUUCCCCUGAGUGAAGUCCAAUGUGCUAUAUAAGAAGUUUUCUAGCUACAAGCGGGAAGGAGUCCACGCAUGUAUCUGCUAUUCUGCUACCAAAUAGCAAAUAAAUGGGAAUUUCUAGGAAGUGUUUGCUUUAAAGUGCAACUGAAAGCAUGACUGAUAUUUCAUUUGUUUUGUCAGUUCAAUAGGAAUAUAAGAAGGCAUGAUAUUGCUCUCUUUCUAUGAUAUCAGUUCGUUCUAAGAACAUGUGCUUUGUCUUUAUUACUUUGCAGUUCUAUGUAAGUUUUUUUUGUCAGCCUCUGUAACAGAAAAUAGUAAAAUGGGAGGCUUGAUGUGUAAUUGGUGCAAUUGA